UGGGGAAUUUUGGACAAUGGGCGAAAGCCUGAUCCAGCAAUGCCGCGUGUGUGAAGAAGGCCUUCGGGUUGUAAAGCACUUUUGUCCGGAAAGAAAUCCUUGGCUCUAAUACAGUCGGGGGAUGACGGUACCGGAAGAAUAAGCACCGGCUAACUACGUGCCAGCAGCCGCGGUAAUACGUAGGGUGCAAGCGUUAAUCGGAAUUACUGGGCGUAAAGCGUGCGCAGGCGGUUUGCUAAGACCGAUGUGAAAUCCCCGGGCUCAACCUGGGAACUGCAUUGGUGACUGGCAGGCUAGAGUAUGGCAGAGGGGGGUAGAAUUCCACGUGUAGCAGUGAAAUGCGUAGAGAUGUGGAGGAAUACCGAUGGCGAAGGCAGCCCCCUGGGCCAAUACUGACGCUCAUGCACGAAAGCGUGGGGAGCAAACAGGAUUAGAUACCCUGGUAGUCCACGCCCUAAACGAUGUCAACUAGUUGUUGGGGGAUUCAUUUCCUUAGUAACGUAGCUAACGCGUGAAGUUGACCGCCUGGGGAGUACGGUCGCAAGAUUAAAACUUAAAUGAAUUGACGGGGUCAUAGCUGUUU
rnacentral:rRNA from 1 species